AGAGAUGCACUGGGCGUAAAGCGUGCGCAGGCGGUUUUGUAAGACAGAGGUGAAAUCCCCGGGCUCAACCUGGGAACUGCCUUUGUGACUGCAAGGCUGGAGUGCGGCAGAGGGGGAUGGAAUUCCGCGUGUAGCAGUGAAAUGCGUAGAUAUGCGGAGGAACACCGAUGGCGAAGGCAAUCCCCUGGGCCUGCACUGACGCUCAUGCACGAAAGCGUGGGGAGCAAACA
rnacentral:rRNA from 1 species